UACGUAGGGGGCAAGCGUUGUCCGGAUUAUUGGGCGUAAAGAGCGUGGUAGGCGGCUUGGAAGGUCAGCUGUGAAAACUCGAGGCUCAACCUCGAGACGUCGGUUGAAACCACCUGGCUAGAGUCCGGAAGAGGAGAGUGGAAUUCCCGGUGUAGCGGUGAAAUGCGCAGAUAUCGGGAAGAACACCCGUGGCGAAGGCGGCUCUCUGGGACGGUACUGGACGCUGAGACGGCGAAAGCGUGGGGAGCGAACAGG
rnacentral:rRNA from 1 species